rnacentral:misc_RNA from 1 species
GUUUAAUUGCUAUCCACCUUGUCCUCAACCUGAUCGAGUUAUAGGAAUGAUCCCACAUGCUGACAUGUCCGGGAUCACUCUCUUGCUUGAUGCCACCGACGUGCCAGGAUUACAGGUUCUAAAAGAUGGUCAAUGGAUCUUUGUUGAACCAAUUGAUGGUGCUAUUGUUGUAAACAUUGGCCAGAUUAUAGAGAUAAUGAGCAAUAGAAUAUAUAAAGCACCAGAUCACAGAGCUGUGGUGAACAAAUUGAAGGAGAGGUUUUCUGUAGUUACGUUUUGUUAUCCCAACCCAUCUGUCAAAAUUGGUCCUGCUAGUGAACUUACCCAGUCGGGAAGUCCACCUCUUUACAAGACUGUUACACUGGCAGAGUAUUUUCAGAGCUUUUACAAUCGGAAGCUUGAAGUUUCAUUCAUUGAUUGCCUGAAAAUCUGAAGCCUAAUAGAAGAGUGCUUGCAAAAAUUUUAGGAUAAUAGGAGUUAUGGUGAAUUAAAAUGUAGCAAUAAAUGAUGUCUGGUGAAGGUAUGGGACGCACGGGCACCCCGAGCUGGUGAAGCCUUGAAGCUGUAGAGCUCUGAUCAAGAGAUCUCAAGGAGCCCUGGAAUUGCAGAGGAUUCCCUGAUGUUUCUGUUGUUUCCAAUCCAUGAAAACAAAAGGUUUUUCCUUUCUAAAGAAUUAUUCAUAGGUUAUGACUGACCAGCCAUUCCCUUUACUUUCUCGUAAACAAUUAAUUUAAACCUUAAUUAUAUGAUCAAUUAAGUGAGAGGAGCCGGGGAAUGAUGGCGAGAAACAAAUGGAAUAUAGAAAAUUGAUUACCAUUCUGUAAAAGCACAAACAAUAACGUUUCAUAAGGCUUGCUAAUUCCUUUUGGAAUCUCUCCAACCAAACGAUUUGAAGAGAGAUCAAACAAAUGCAACUGGGAGGCAUUUCCUACGAUAGAUAUUUAGUAUAAAUGUAUUAUUCAGCCAUUAGUUAUUUGUAUUUAUCUUUGUAAUUAUCUUGUAAGCAAUUUUUUUUUUUUAAAUCCUGAAUCCCUCUUUAAGAGGUUUUAGGUCUAUUUAUAAAUGUAAAAUU